AUUUAUUUAUUUUUGCCGCGGUCUCUUGAUUUGUUAAAGAAUAAAGAGUUUAAUGUUAGUCUAUGAUUAACUUGUUUCUGUUAAGUAACUAGGGUUAAGUGAUGAUAAAAUGCUACAUCAUCACUACCGGGUCUCAUAACAAAAAAUAAAAAAUUGUAACAUUUAUAAGAAGAAACAACAUAUUCAAACCAAUUACUGUAAUUAGCUGGGUUCAUAUAUGCAACGUUCCGCUCGCACAGGUUGGGGAGGAAGUAAUGGUUGAGGUUGAGGAGAUGUUUCAACAUAUGACUCUUGCCAGUAUAAAAUAGUUUGAGAGUUUUGAACUAUCAUAGUAGGGCAGAGUCAAGCGUACUAGUGUGAUUGAUUUUGGAGUAAAACUAAACGGGCCCAAGUCUUAUGGCCGGAGUCUGAUACUAAGAAUUUCCAACACAAAAUUCUAUAUUGGUGGACUUACUUCGGGUAUAAUGUGAUUCAAACUUUACUAGCUCGAUCAAUUAUUAUUCCUAACUGUUAACGUAUAAAAUGGAUUUCUUUUGACAGAAUAUGCUUUAGCUGGAAUUGACUUCACCAGGUUUGGUUACAGGUAGGUAGUUGAGUUUCUUGCGCAAUGAAUGGGUUUGAACUUUGAAGGGUGGUUAGGUGUCAGUAUGAGAGUUGAUAAUAAAUUGGUGCACGGACCAAGUAUGCUUCCAUAUGUGUAUUAUUAUGAUGGAUGGGUUGUUCUUUUCUAUUAUCCAAGUGACUCGUCGUUAUUCAAUUAUUAAAUUUUACAAAAUUCAAAUUAUUUCUUAUAACAAGUCGUGUGUAAUACUUUCUAUUUUCUAUUAAUCAUGUGGUAACUAAUAUACUUGUCAUUGCUUGAGUUAUUUUGUUUAACAGAAAAUGGUACUAUAUCAUACAAGAAAACAUUUAGAAAAAACUAUUUGAGCAAUUCUUGUAUAGACAAGUGAUCAUCAACUGUACUUAGCUAAGUGUUUGGCACCAUUCUGGGGUUGGUUUCAUGACUUUUCCAGCCACUGAAGCCAACCAAUUCCUUUCUACUAACUACCCUAAUAAAUGGCCGGCGAGAAAGGCAAAAAGAGGGGAUGAUGGUGGAAGCCUUAACAUGUUCAAGCAACUUUCUGUGCUUCAGCUUAUAAAAUAAAUGUAUGGUCCAACACUGGUGCAUUAAUCAUCUUCUUCAAAUCCCAAAAUAUGACGGGUUCUGCACCAGCACAGCAGCAGAUGUCAUACUAUGAUCACGUUCAGACGCGCCAUCAGGAGAAGGGAAGCCUCUAUUCUUGUUUGUAUACACUCUGUUGCUGCUUUUGCUGCUAUGAGGGUUGCAAGUGCUGCUUGGAACGCACCUGUUGUUGCUGUCCCUAGAUUGCCCGUUAAAUAAAUCAAGUUUAUAUAUGUUUCAAGGAGACAUCUAUCAAGUUUAUAUAUGUUUCAUAAUUACUGUUGUAUGAAAUGACGAUUCUGGAAGCCAAUAAGGAACACUCUUCACGUACCAUGUACUUCAAUUAAUUUUAAUUUUAAAAACAAAUGAAUUCGUUAUGCCUGUUAAA